AGUAACGCGUGGAUAACCUGCCUCACACAGGGGGAUAACAGUUAGAAAUGACUGCUAAUACCGCAUAAGCGCACGGUACCGCAUGGUACAGUGUGAAAAACUCCGGUGGUGUGAGAUGGAUCCGCGUCUGAUUAGCCAGUUGGCGGGGUGACGGCCCACCAAAGCGACGAUCAGUAGCCGGCCUGAGAGGGUGAACGGCCACAUUGGGACUGAGACACGGUCCAG
rnacentral:rRNA from 1 species